AUUGAACGCUGGCGGCAUGCCUUACACAUGCAAGUCGAACGGCAGCACGGGUGCUUGCACCUGGUGGCGAGUGGCGAACGGGUGAGUAAUACAUCGGAAUGUACCUUGUAGUGGGGGAUAGCUCGGCGAAAGCCGGAUUAAUACCGCAUACGCUCCGAGGAGGAAAGCGGGGGACCUUCGGGCCUCGUGCUACAAGAGCAGCCGAUGUCAGAUUAGCUUGUUGGUGAGGUAAAAGCUCACCAAGGCGACGAUCUGUAGCUGGUCUGAGAGGACGACCAGCCACACUGGGACUGAGACGCGGCCCAGACUCCUACGGGAGGCAGCAGUGGGGAAUUUUGGACAAUGGGGGCAACCCUGAUCCAGCAAUGCCG
rnacentral:rRNA from 1 species